rnacentral:rRNA from 1 species
GGGACACGUGGUAUCCUGUCUGAAUAUGGGGGGACCAUCCUCCAAGGCUAAAUACUCCUGACUGACCGAUAGUGAACCAGUACCGUGAGGGAAAGGCGAAAAGAACCCCGGCGAGGGGAGUGAAAAAGAACCUGAAACCGUGUACGUACAAGCAGUGGGAGCACGCUUAGGCGUGUGACUGCGUACCUUUUGUAUAAUGGGUCAGCGACUUAUAUUCUGUAGCAAGGUUAACCGAAUAGGGGAGCCGAAGGGAAACCGAGUCUUAACUGGGCGUUAAGUUGCAGGGUAUAGACCCGAAACCCGGUGAUCUAGCCAUGGGCAGGUUGAAGGUUGGGUAACACUAACUGGAGGACCGAACCGACUAAUGUUGAAAAAUUAGCGGAUGACUUGUGGCUGGGGGUGAAAGGCCAAUCAAACCGGGAGAUAGCUGGUUCUCCCCGAAAGCUAUUUAGGUAGCGCCUCGUGAAUUCAUCUCCGGGGGUAGAGCACUGUUUCGGCAAGGGGGUCAUCCCGACUUACCAACCCGAUGCAAACUGCGAAUACCGGAGAAUGUUAUCACGGGAGACACACGGCGGGUGCUAACGUCCGUCGUGAAGAGGGAAACAACCCAGACCGCCAGCUAAGGUCCCAAAGUCAUGGUUAAGUGGGAAACGAUGUGGGAAGGCCCAGACAGCCAGGAUGUUGGCUUAGAAGCAGCCAUCAUUUAAAGAAAGCGUAAUAGCUCACUGGUCGAGUCGGCCUGCGCGGAAGAUGUAACGGGGCUAAACCAUGCACCGAAGCUGCGGCAGCGACGCUUAUGCGUUGUUGGGUAGGGGAGCGUUCUGUAAGCCUGUGAAGGUGUGCUGUGAGGCAUGCUGGAGGUAUCAGAAGUGCGAAUGCUGACAUAAGUAACGAUAAAGCGGGUGAAAAGCCCGCUCGCCGGAAGACCAAGGGUUCCUGUCCAACGUUAAUCGGGGCAGGGUGAGUCGACCCCUAAGGCGAGGCCGAAAGGCGUAGUCGAUGGGAAACAGGUUA